rnacentral:lncRNA from 1 species
CCUCAUGCCACAGGGAUUCCACCUGGUUAUAAACCUCAUUCAUGAGGUGACGAACAGGUUUCAAGAUCAGUGUCUGGAAUUUGACUCGGUGGAAACCAUCGUUCUUCACCUGACGUUGGCAGAAAGCAGUUUCCUGUCCUUCUUCCUGCUGCUUCCUAUAGAAUCUCUUCCUUGAAAGACCAGGCUUGCCCAGUCUGUUUAAAAACCAGGUACUUUUCCUGUCUCCCUUUGUUCCACUAUAGAGUUUAUAUGC